GCACAAGCGGUGGAGCAUGUGGAUUAAUUCGAUGCAACGCGAAGAACCUUACCAAGGCUUGACAUACGCCGGACCGGUCCAGAGAUGGAUCUUCCCCCUUGUGAGGCUGGUGUACAGGUGGUGCAUGGUUGUCGUCAGCUCGUGUCGUGAGAUGUUGGGUUAAGUCCCGCAACGAGCGCAACCCUCGUUCUAUGUUGCCAGCACGUGAUGGUGGGGACUCAUAGGAGACUGCCGGGGUCAACUCGGAGGAAGGUGGGGAUGACGUCAAAUCAUCAUGCCCCUUAUGUCUUGGGCUUCACGCAUGCUACAAUGGCCGGUACAAUGGGUUGCAAUACCGUGAGGUGGAGCUAAUCCCAAAAAGCCGGUCUCAGUUCGGAUCGUGGUCUGCAACUCGACCACGUGAAGUCGGAGUCGCUAGUAAUCGCAGAUCAGCAACGCUGCGGUGAAUACGUUCCCGGGC
rnacentral:rRNA from 1 species